rnacentral:rRNA from 1 species
UGGGGAAUAUUGCACAAUGGAGGGAACUCUGAUGCAGCGCCGCCGCGUGAGUGAUGAAGGAAUUCGUUUCGUAAAACUCUGUUCUAUGGGAAGAAAAGGACUGUACCAUAGGAGAAAGCUCCGGCUAAAUACGUGCCAGCAGCCGCGGUAAUACGUAUGGAGCGAGCGUUGUCCGGAAUUAUUGGGCGUAAAGGGUGCGCAGGCGGCUUUACAAGUUGGAUGUGAAAUAUUGUGGCUCAACCACAAACGUGCAUCCAAAACUGCAAAGCUUGAGUUAAGGAGAGGUAAGUGGAAUUCCUGGUGUAGCGGUGGAAUGCGUAGAUAUCAGGAGGAAUACCGGUGGCGAAGGCGACUUACUGGACUUAAACUGACGCUCAGGCACGAAAGCGUGGGGAGCAAACAGG